UGUAUUUAUUAGAUAAAAAACCAAUGCCCUUCGGGGCUUUUUGGUGAUUCAUGAUAACUUUACGGAUCGCAUAGCCUUGCGCUGGCGACGGUUCAUUCAAAUUUCUGCCCUAUCAACUUUCGAUGGUAAGGUAUUGGCUUACCAUGGUUUCAACGGGUAACGGGGAAUUAGGGUUCGAUUCCGGAGAGGGAGCCUGAGAAACGGCUACCACAUCCAAGGAAGGCAGCAGGCGCGCAAAUUACCCAAUCCCGACACGGGGAGGUAGUGACAAUAAAUACUGAUACAGGGCUCUUUUGGGUCUUGUAAUUGGAAUGAGUACAAUUUAAACCUCUUAACGAGGAACAAUUGGAGGGCAAGUCUGGUGCCAGCAGCCGCGGUAAUUCCAGCUCCAAUAGCGUAUAUUAAAGUUGUUGCAGUUAAAAAGCUCGUAGUUGAAACUUGGGCCUGGCUGGCGGGUCCGCCUCACCGCGUGCACUCGUCCGGCCGGGCCUUC
rnacentral:rRNA from 1 species